GACGUAGGGCGCGAGCGUUGUCCGGAUUUAUUGGGCGUAAAGAGCUCGUAGGCGGCUUGUCGCGUCGAAUGUGAAAUCUCAGGGCUCAACUCUGACAUUGCAUUCGAUACGGGCAGACUAGAGUACUGGCAGGGGAGACUGGAAUUCCUGGUGUAGCGGUGGAAUGCGCAGAUAUCAGGAGGAACACCGGUGGCGAAGGCGGGUCACUGGGCAGUAACUGACGCUGAGGAGCGAAAGCGUGGGGAGCGAACAGG
rnacentral:rRNA from 1 species